rnacentral:ncRNA from 14 species
ACAACGGCUCUUUUAAGAGCCACACACACCAAACCUGAAGAUCAC